AGCAGCCGCGGUAAUUCCAGCUCCAAUAGCGUAUAUUAAAGUUGUUGCAGUUAAAAAGCUCGUAGUUGAAUUUCGGGAUCAAUAUAUCGGUCGUGCCUUCGGUACGUACUGGUAUCGUUGAUUUCUACCUUCUGACGAACCAUGAUGUCAUUAAUUUGGUGUCAUGGGAAAUCAGGACUGUUACUUUGAAAAAAUUAGAGUGUUUAAAGCAGGCACACGCUUGAAUACAUUAGCAUGGAAUAAUGAAAUAGGACGUUUGAUCCUAUUUUGUUGGUUUCUAGGGUCGACGUAAUGAUUAAUAGGGAUAGUUGGGGGCAUUAGUAUUCAAUUGUCAGAGGUGAAAUUCUUGGAUUUAUUGAAGACUAACUACUGCGAAAGCAUUUGCCAAGGAUGUUUUCAUUAAUCAAGAACGAAAGUUAGGGGAUCGAAGACGAUCAGAUACCGUCGUAGUCUUAACCAUAAACUAUGCCGACUAGGGAUCGGAUGAUGUUAAUUUUUUAAUGUACUCAUUCGGCG
rnacentral:rRNA from 1 species